rnacentral:rRNA from 1 species
GGAUGGGCCCGCGUCCCAUUAGCUGGUUGGUGAGGUAAAGGCCCACCAAGGCAACGAUGGGUAUCCGGCCUGAGAGGGUGAACGGACACAUUGGGACUGAGAUACGGCCCAAACUCCUACGGGAGGCAGCAGCUAAGAAUCUUCCGCAAUGGACGAAAGUCUGACGGAGCGACGCCGUGUGAAUGAAGAAGGCCGAAAGGUUGUAAAAUUCUUUUGCAGAUGAAGAAUAAGAAGAAGAGGGAAUGCUUCUUUGAU